GUGGCUCAGUGGUUAAGAGCACUGACUGCUCUUCCAGAGGUCCUGAGUUCAAGUCUCAGC
rnacentral:tRNA from 1 species